CGCUGGCGGUGUGCUUCACACAUGCAAGGUCGAACGAGGUAGCAAUACCUAGUGGCGGACGGGUGAGUAACGCGUGGAAUCUGCCUUUAGAUGGGGGAUAACGGGUCGAAAGACUCGCUAAUACCGCAUAUGACGAAAGUUGAAAGGAGUAAUCCAUCUAAAGAUGAGCCCGCGUCCGAUUAGCUAGUUGGUAGAGUAAAAGCCUACCAAGGCGACGAUCGGUAGCUGGUCUGAGAGGAUGAUCAGCCACAAUGGGACUGAGACACGGCCCAUACUCCUACGGGAGGCAGCAGUGGGGAAUUUUACGCAAUGGGGGAAACCCUGACGUAGCGACACCGCGUGAGCGAAGAAGCCCCUUGGGGUGUAAAGCUCUGUCCAGCUGGAACGAAAAAAAUGACGGUACCAGCAGAGGAAGCAUCGGCUAACUACGUG
rnacentral:rRNA from 1 species